GGGGAUGACAUGGUUUCGACAGGGAUCAAUAACAAAGAUAAGCGAGUCGUUGGGCAGACAACGUAAAAAAGGCAACUUAAAUAUAAACGCAGAAGAUAACUUCGCAUUAGCUGCCUAAGGGCAGCCGACUCUAUAGAUAGACCCGUAAUAUCUAUCUAGUCUCAACUAUAUCGGGCAAUCUUUCCAAGCAAAGCUUUGAGCUUGAAAAGACAUUUAUGAAGCUACCAACUAACUAUAUUUGUUAAUUGAUUAGGUCAGUUGGGAAUCAAAUUCGAUUAACUACACUCGUAGAAAGUCUUUCGGACGGGUUUUUGGACAGGAGUUCGACUCUCCUCAUCUCCACCA
rnacentral:tmRNA from 1 species